AAGACCGCUGAGGCGGGGUGGGAGCCA
rnacentral:piRNA from 1 species